ACACACACAUGUACAGUACAUUUUACAGCGCCAGGCUGUUUUCUCAUAAAGCUCUCAGUUCUGUUCAACUGGACCACAAAGGGAGCUAGCUGCAACUGGCCUCAGUGCUUUUGGAGUUCACAAUACAAGUGGACUGAAAAAGGGGACUCUUCUUUUUCUGGCCAUUUUAGUAUUGAUGAGAUCUCAGAGCACUUGUUGUUCACACCAUACCUCUUUUACCACAGUGUAAUAUCUGUGUAACGCUGAAGUGUGAUUCAAAAUGGUUGCUUUACAUCAUACCUGUCAACCCUCCCGUUUUUCCCGGGAUUCUCCCGUAUUUUACCAUUCUAUCCCGCUAUUAUCCCGUUUAAAUAUUUUCCCGUAUUCCUCCCGUAUUUUUAAUCUUUCUAAAAAAUAAAAAAAAAUCCCACUGGGUGUAAUUGAUAUGUUUGCUACAUUCACCUCCGGUAAAGCAGGUGACAGUAUACAGAACAUUAGCUGUAACAUCUACAGAACUCACUCAAAAAAACAACUCACGCCAGUAAAACAAGUAGAAGAAGAAUAGCAGUCGAAGAAGAAGAACAGCAUGGAGGAACGUGUGUUGGAUUUCCCUUAUUUUCAAAUCCCAAUGUUGACAGUGUGUGGCAGCUCCAGGUUCCUGGACUGAUCUUGAGUUUGGAUUACUGUGUGGAGCUUUUCUUCCUGUGAUUCCCUUUCCUAUAAAAACAAGCAGUGAAAAGUGAAAACAUGGCGUCAGCAGUCAUCCUUUCUCCUGGGCCACAAAAAAUUGGACAGAAGGCCUCUGGACAUGCCUGGACUCGAUCAAACACACUUAACGUUCUAAGGCCCUCGCGAAAUCUACAAAACACCAACCAAAGAAAAUUGUUUAUAAUUAAAUUAUUAUAGUGAAUCAACAAAUUAUACUUUACAUUUUUCUGUAUUGCAAUGUAUCCCUGCCUAUGACUAGAGUUCAAGUCACAGGACUGACAGAGGGUGAUAGGAAAGAACCGGGAGCUAUAUAGUGCCCUCCAGAGUUACUGACCCAUUUCAUUGCUAAAAUUAUUAUCAUAAAGUAUAUUUUAAACAAA